rnacentral:misc_RNA from 1 species
UACGUAGGGGGCAAGCGUUGUCCGGAAUUAUUGGGCGUAAAGGGCGCGCAGGCGGCUCGUUAAGUCUGAUGUGAAGGUCGGGGCUCAACCCCGGGAUGGCAUUGGAAACUGGCGGGCUUGAGUGCAGGAGAGGAGAGCGGAAUUCCCGGUGUAGCGGUGAAAUGCGUAGAGAUCGGGAGGAACACCCGUGGCGAAGGCGGCUCUCUGGCCUGUAACUGACGCUGAGGCGCGAAAGCGUGGGGAGCGAACAGG